AGAGUUUGAUCCUGGCUCAGGAUGAACGCUAGCGGCAGGCUUAACACAUGCAAGUCGAGGGGCAGCAUAGAGGUUAGCAAUAACUUCUGAUGGCGACCGGCGCAAGGGUGCGUAACGCGUGAGCAACUUGCCCUUAUCAGGGGGAUAACCAAUGGAAACGUUGACUAAUACCCCAUAGUAUAACAUUAAGGCAUCUUUUUGUUAUUAAAGAAUUUCGGAUAAGGAUAGGCUCGCGUGACAUUAGCUAGAUGGCGGGGUAACGGCCCACCAUGGCGACGAUGUCUAGGGGUUCUGAGAGGAAGGUCCCCCACACUGGAACUGAGACACGGUCCGGACUCCUACGGGAGGCAGCAGUGAGGAAUAUUGGUCAAUGGUCUGACGACUGAACCAGCCAUGCCGCGUGAAGGUCACGGCCCUAUGGGUCUUAAACUUCUUUUGUAAGGGAGCAAUAAGGCGCACGUGUGCGUCGAUGAGAGUACCUUACGAAUAAGCAUCGGCUAACUCCGUGCCAGCAGCCGCGGU
rnacentral:rRNA from 1 species